GACUCACUCUGUUUCUUCCUAUAGGUGGAUGGAAAGGGGUCCAUCAAAGAGCUCUUCCCAACAGGAAAACAGCUGGAGCCCUUAGUUGCACCUCUGGCAGAUGGAAAAGUGGCUGUGGGCCAGGAUGAUCUCACCGUAGUACUCAAUGAGGAAGGAAUCUGCACACAGAAAUGUGCCCUGAACUGGACGGACAUACCAGUGGCCAUGGGUCAAACAUUAUCUAUGUGACCAGCAAUCAUUUUGUUUGGAGACUCAUCCCUGUCCCGAUGGCAACCCAAAUCCAACAACUUCUCCAGGACAAGCAGUUUGAAUUGGCUCUGCAGCUCGCAGAACUGAAAGAUGAUUCCGACAGUGAAAAGCAGCAACAAAUUCAUCACAUCAAGAACUUGUAUGCUUUCAACCACUUCUGCCAGAAGCAUUUUGAUGAGUCCAUGCAGGUCUUUGCUAAACUUGGCACAGAUCCCACCCAUGUGAUGGGUCUGUACCCGGACCUGCUGCCCACAGACUACAGGAAGCAGUUGCGGUAUCCCAACCCACUGCCUGUGCUCUCUGGGGCUGAAUUGGAGAAGGCUCGCUUAGCUCUGAUUGACUACCUGACACAGAAACGAAGUCAAUUGGUAAAGAAGCUGAACGACUCUGAUCACCAGUCAAGCACCUCCCCACUCAUGGAAGGCACUCCCACCAUCAAAUCCAAGAAGCUGCUACAAAUCAUCGACACCACCCUGCUCAAGUGCCAUCUCCAUACGAAUGUGGCCCUGGUGGCCCCCUUGCUACGCCUGGAGAACAAUCACUGCCACAUUGAGGAGAGCGAGCACGUGCUGAAGAAGGCUCACAAGUACAGUGAGCUUAUCAUCCUGUAUGAGAAGAAGGGGCUCCACGAGAAAGCUCUGCAGGUGCUCGUGGACCAGUCCAAGAAAGCCAACUCCCCUCUGAAAGGCCACGAGAGGACGGUGCAGUAUCUGCAGCGUCUGGGCACAGAAAACCUGCAUUUGAUUUUCUCCUACUCAGUGUGGGUGCUGAGAGACUUCCCGGAAGAUGGCCUGAAGAUAUUUACUGAAGAUCUCCCAGAAGUGGAGUCUCUGCCACGUGAUCGAGUCCUCGGCUUCUUAGUAGAGAAUUUUAAGGGUCUGGCUGUUCCUUAUCUGGAACACAUCAUCCACGUUUGGGAGGAGACAGGCUCUCGGUUCCACAACUGCCUGAUCCAGCUGUACUGAGAAAAGGUGCAAGGUCUGAUGAAGGAGUAUCUCCUGUCCUUCCCUGCAGGCAAGACCCCAGUCCCAGCUGGAGAGGAAGAGGGUGAACUGGGAGAAUACCGGCAAAAGCUCCUCAUGUUCUUGGAGAUUUCCAGCUACUAUGAUCCAGGCCGGCUCAUCUGUGAUUUUCCCUUUGAUGGCCUCUUAGAAGAACGAGCUCUCUUGUUGGGGCACAUGGGGAAACACGAACAAGCUCUUUUCAUUUAUGUCCACAUCUUGAAGGAUACAAGGAUGGCUGAGGAGUACUGCCACCAACACUAUGACCAAAACAAAGAUGGCAACAAAGAUGUGUAUCUGUCCCUGCUUCGGAUGUACCUGUCGCCCCCCCCCAGCAUUCACUGCCUGGGGCCAAUCAAGCUGGAACUGCUGGAGCCAAAAGCCGACCUCCAGGCUGCCCUGCAGGUCCUGGAGCUGCACCACAGCAAACUGGACACCACCAAGGCCCUCAACCUUCUGCCAGCAAACACUCAGAUCAAUGACAUACGCAUCGUCCUGGAAAAGGUCUUGGACGAAAAUGCACAAAAGAAACGGUUCAAUCAAGUGCUCAAGAACCUUCUCCAUGCAGAGUUCCUGAGGGUCCAGGAAGAGCGGAUUUUACACCAGCAGGUGAAGUGCAUCAUCACAGAGGAGAAGGUGUGCAUGGUGUGUAAGAAGAAGAUUGGAAACAGUGCAUUUGCAAGAUACCCCAAUGGAGUGGUCGUGCACUACUUCUGUUCCAAAGAGGUAAACCCAGCUGACACUUGAGCCCAGCAUCUUGGGGAUCCAGCAGAUGGACAGCUUGGCUCUCCCAGAGAGGUGAAGGAGCACCUGGCCUUAGGAAUCCUGGCUGCCACCACCACAAGGCUCCCUGUUUGGACAUUACUGGCUAUCUUGUGCCCUGGAACAACUCUGAAUUAAUUAGACUCAUGGUCUGGCAUUGCCAGCUUUUUAAUGGGAAAAGAGAUUAGUUAUACCUUAUACCAUUAUCCUGUGGGCAAUUCCAGAGAAUUCAGUACCUGCUUGGUCAGGAGGAGGUGCCCCAUCUUGCCUUUGCAUACCAGUCACCUGAACCUGGAAACUUGUCACAAGUGUUUGUAA